GUUCGCAUCUGUCUCACGCACUUCCGGUGAACUUCUCGCGAGAUUAAGUUCCCUUGGCAACAGUACACCGUCGUGUUUUCAUGGAGAAGUCUGAGCGACAAAAGAUUCAGCUCAAAACCAACCAGCCAUAUGACGAGAGUUUUGAAGUGAAUGCAGAGGAGGCGGCCAGUGUGCACACACCAUCCCCAAGACAGAUAGUUUCCAGGAGGACAGGCAGGCAGAAGCAGAGCGCCAUGGCCACUUAUGCUGGAGAUAAACUAGAAGAGGACACUAAGCAGAGAAAGAAAGAGCCGCCACCCGGACCUCGUGCUACUAAUCAGAAUGAUGAAGAGGAUGAUGAGGAAGAAGAAGAUGAUGAUGAUGAUGACGACGAUGAUGAUUCUGAUGACACAGAGUCUGAUGAGGAGGAAGGGGAGCCUGGAUCUGCUCCAGAAGGUGCAUAUGACCCAGCCGAUUACGAACAUCUUCCUGUGACAGCUGAGAUCAAAGAGCUGUUUCAGUACAUCACAAGAUAUACUCCACAGACGAUAGAGCUUGACCACAAACUGAAGCCCUUUAUCCCUGAUUUCAUCCCAGCUGUGGGGGACAUCGAUGCUUUCCUCAAAGUACCACGACCAGAUGGGAAGGCUGACAAUCUGGGUCUCCUGGUUCUGGAUGAGCCUUGCACUAAACAGUCAGACCCAACUGUGCUUUCCCUGUGGCUGUCAGAGAACAGCAAACAACACAAUGUUGCUGAAGUGAAAGUCAAGAGCAUUGAAAACCCAGAGAAGAACCCCAAAGCCAUAGACAACUGGAUCGAGAGCAUUAGUGAGCUGCAUCGGUCCAAGCCUCCAGCUACCGUACACUACACAAGACCCAUGCCAGAUAUUGACAGCUUGAUGCAAGAGUGGCCGCCUGAGUUUGAGGAGCUUCUGGGGAAGGUGAAUCUCCCCACUGCAGAUAUUGACUGUGAUUUGGCAGAGUAUGUCGACAUUAUUUGUGGAAUCCUGGACAUCCCGGUGUACAAGAACCGGAUUCACUCACUUCACGUGCUGUUCACACUCUACUCUGAAUUCAAAAACUCACAGCACUUUAAAUCUGUAACGGAGGGCCACAAAUCCAACACACCGCCUGCUUCACGCACAGCCACUGCUGAAUUAAAAAGACUCACUUUGGACUGAAGUCUCCUUCAUGGUCUUUUUUCAUACAUUCUGUUUCAUUCUUAGCUGUUGUGUCACCAGCUGAAGCUGUGAAGUUAGAUUGUUUUUUUUUAGAAUGUGUGAAUUCUUCAUAUGUUUAUGUCUUGCAGACUUGUUUUAAAAGGUAAAACCAGAGGAGGAUGGGUUUUCCCUUGUUUGACUUUACUUCUUACAUUAACAGAUGUUUUAUAUCACUUUUUUCAUUAUGUAUCAGAGGAUUCAGACUCUAGCUUUUAUUAGUACAUAUAAUAUUAAAUAACAGUAGGUUCUGUAUAAAUAUUUAAUAAAAAUAAUACUAAGUGAAACUGAUUCAACACUAUCCACCGUAAGCCAUCUGGUGAUUUAGCACAACAAGAUGACAUUAUAGCCAUAAUCAGUUUUAAACAUUUAAAUAAUCUGCUGGAAAGUUGUUUUUUUCAUGAAUUAGUCAUUUAUCUUAUAUACAGUAUACAAUAUGAAACAUGUAUUUGAGGUGUUGUCUCUAUUGUAUUAUCUGAAUAAGACUAGCCCUGCCUUCUUCCUUGUUCUAACUGCUUUAUAUUUUCCUUUCGUGGUUUUUAGUGACUAUUUUUAACUCUGAGGAAUGCGUGUCACAGAAACUAGAUCUACAGAUUGAAUGGAUUGAUUAAAGGUUACCAGUGUUAAUCAAAUGCUAAUUUAACUAUAAGAGGACUAAGUCUAACUCCUGACUUAUGAUGCCAGGAUAUUUCAUUCAUAUUUGGCUUUUUUUCUUUGCUGUAUUUGCGAGAGAAAGUAAAGUCGAAGAAGUGAAGAAGGGCCUAUACAGUCGUGUUGAGCUCACUGGAGAGAAACUUGAUCAACACACUGCUGAUUCUCUGAAGUCAGUGGAAUGGACCAAACGAAAGGGAUCAUUAACAUGUCUAUGUUUUAUAAAAACAAAUACAACAUACAGUGUUUCAUACAGUCAAUGCUGUGGAACGGCUCGUUUCUAUCUAAACAACAACACCCUGAUUCUGGAGAACGUGACAGAAAGGGAUGAAGGAGUCUUCAUUGAAACUAUAGUUACAGCAAAUGGAACUAAAAAAUGGCUAAAUGUUACAUUAACUAUUCAAUAUCCUCCAAAUGCAAUAGAAAUUGUGGUCUCCUGGACCUCCAGCACAUCUGUGACUCUCAAAUGUGAAGUGAGCGGUUUAUUUCAGCAUCUGAUGUGGAAGAGAGAAGGAGUCUCUAUUCUAGAGAAACACAGACAUUCGUUCAGUGAGAGAAACCAAACUCUACACAUCAGCAACAUAACCAGCUCCGAGUACGGCUCGUACAGCUGUAUUGCUUCAAAUGCAUAUGGAGAAUCAGAAAAGCACACAUAUAUUACCGGAAAUGGCACUAGAGAUGAAACUCGGUCUGAUCAAACUGUGCUUUCAAGUGGACUUACACUCACUUGUGUUUUGGGACUGUGCCUCGUGUUGUACUGCCUUUACAAAUACCACCACAGGCACAGAGCAGAAAAUGGCAAAACUACAGAUGGAGGGGAAGCAGCCAUUGACCUUGGUAUUUAUCAGGAAAUACCUGACUUUGGGGAGGUGACUCCUUUACCGUGCGUCUACACAGACUUCAUUAAGCCGAGAGAGAGCAGUCAGGCCUCCGCUGCAGCGCAACACUUUGAGGAGUCUGGUUACUCUGAGGUCGGACCCUCCUGCAGGGAACCUGUCUCUAAUGAAGAGUCCACAGCGUGUCCCGAAGCUGGAGAGGAAUGACAACUGAAAUAAGAGACUGCAAAACCAACGAAUACUAACUUACUUCAGUGUAGUGCAAUUUAGAAGUGCUACUGAUUUAUAAGCAGCGGGUGAAAAGCACGUUACACCCUGAUCAACCACUAGAGGGCAGCAAAACCGCUGGAAACAUACUCAGAAAAAAAUUUCACUGGAGUGGUACAAAGCUAAAAGGUGCUACCGUGUACCUUAUUUACCCCUACUUGGUGCAUGCUAGUACCUUAAAUUUACAUAUUAGUUUUUUAAAAGUACACCUUUUGCAUGGGUACCGUCACUAACCCCUCCCUAAUUUUUGCGAGUGUAGUAGCUCUACACUUUUAACCAUAAAUGGUUUCCAAUUAUUACAAAGAUAUAUUUGGAUGGACAAUGCAUCUUAAAAAUAAUAUAAUAUAAUAAGUUUCACGAUUACAAUUACAUUCAAUAAAGAUCAUUAUGAAAAAUA